UCAGCAUUUGUGGUGUCCCAGUUCCUUUAUUGUUCCUGUUGUUGAUUGGCUAAAGAGACUCCAUGACCAUGUUGACCAGUCUUCUGCUUCUCAGUGCUGCCUUUGCUCUGGGAGAUGCAAAUUCACUUGUAGAAGAAGACUUGUGUCCUUCCGGUUGGACCAAAUUUGGAUCAAGCUGUUUAAUGUUUGUAAAGACUACGAGGAGCUGGCCUGAAGCAGAGCGGUACUGUGUGUCCCUUGGUGAUCAACUGGUGUCUGUACCCAACGUUGUCGAGUACCUUGGCGCAAACCUGGCAUCUGUGCACAGCUCCGAGGAGGACCAGUUUCUACAGGCGUUGGUCUUGGUCAAGACUGUU